rnacentral:rRNA from 1 species
GACGAACGCUGGCGGCGUGCCUAAUACAUGCAAGUAGAACGCAGUUGCGCACGGGUGUGUAACGCGUAGGUAACUGCAUCGUAGCGGGGGAUAACUCUUUGAAACGAUAGCUAAUACAGCAUACUACCAGAUGGACCUGCGGUGUAUUAGUUAGGUGGUGAGGGAACGGCUCACCCAGGAAACGAUUCAUAGCCGACCUUGGGGGGGUGUCGGGCACACCUGGACUUGGACACGGCCCAGGAUCCUACGGGAGGGAGCAGGAGGGAAUCUUCGGGAAUUGGGGGAACGCUUACCGAGCAACGGCGCGUUAGUGAAGAAGGUUUUCGGAUCGUAAAGCUCUUUUGGUUAGGAAGCGGUACUUAACCAGAAAGGGACGGCUAACUACGUGCCAGCCGCCGCGGUAAUUC